AUGCCCACCUUAGCAGCAUAUAUACUAAAAUUGGAACACUACAGAGAUUAGCAAGGAUGACACGAAAAUUUGUGAGGCAUUCCAUAUUUAA
rnacentral:snRNA from 1 species